AUGGAAAGUUGCAUAGCAUGGAUCUGUGUGAUGGAAGGAGCAAAAGCUUUGUUAGCUAAAAAUAGAAAUUAAAUUAAGUGAGAUAUCAUGUACUGCACUGCAAAGGAAGAAAAACUGCAAGAAAAUAUCCAACAGUAAAGAACUCCCUAAAUGAAUGUAUCAUAGUUUAAAGAAAACAUCGGUGAAAUUGCACUGCUACAAGCAGAACUCUCCCCAAGAUAAAUGCAAUCAGAACAUCAACAAUCAUCCAGCUAAAUCAGAUUUCCAAAUGAUUUUUGAUUCAGAAUAUUCUUUCUACGCCUACAGGUACAUAUAGACCUUGCCCCACCCAACUAUACUCUAUGCAUAUAGACGAUGGUUUCACACAAACACUGUUGUCGAGGGUGGACAUGAUGUCAUCAAGACGUGAACAUCCUGCCAUAUUUUCGAAGUUCUGAUAUAAUAUUCACUUUUGUAAGUUUAUCCAAAAUGUAUUAAUCACAGACAUUCCAAGGGAUUUUUGAUUCAGAACAUUCUUUCUAUGCCUGCAGGUGCAUAUAGACCUUGCCUCUGGAGCAUGACUAGAGAUAUGGAUGGAGAUGAAUGCUCCAAAAGCAUGUGAAUGAGCAUCUCUAGCUUUAAAAUUAAUCAUGUCAAGAAGUAGGCAUAAACCAACUAUACUCUAGGCAAAGACAAUGGUUUCACACAAACACAGUUGUCAAGGGUGGACAUGAUAUCCUCAAGACAUGAACAUCCUACCAUAUUUUUGAAAUUCUGAUAUAAUAUUCACUUUUGUAAGUUUAUCCAAAAUGUAUUAAUCACAGA
rnacentral:misc_RNA from 1 species